CACACACACACACACACACACACUGAUGGCGUUGGCGUUUCUCCGGUGGAUCAAGCUCCUGAUGAUCCUGAUCGUCUUUCAAGGUGUGUGUGUGGUGUUUUAUUAUACACUCAACACACACUCAUCCAGAGAUGGGAUGAGGGACCCACUUCAGCUGCUGCGCUGUGCUAAGCUCAGACACAAGUUUUCCAUUAUUAAACCUGCCAAAAGUAUAAAACUGAAGAGCUUCACGAAGGAGUUGUCAGAUUUGAUGAGCUGUCCGUACAGAGCCAACACAACCGAGCGCGAGCUGAACAGAAUGAGGCUGCAGUUUUGCUGUAAUGCCACAGGAUUGUUAUUCCUCACCAAACACAACACGGCCAUCAAUCAGAACAUCCUGUAUGAGACAAGCACUACAAAAAGAUACAAAAUGAAUGCAGCUGUUCACAGCAUGUUGCCUGAGGAUCUCCCCUGGAGCGGUCGUCGUCUCGGUCGGUGUGCUGUAGUUGGCAGUGGUGGGAUCCUAAAGAACAGCAGCUGUGGACGUGAGAUUGACAGCGCAGACUUUGUCAUACGGUUUAAUUUGGCGUUGAUUAAUGACAGUGAUGUUGGACUGAAGACAGAUCUGAUAACCAUCAACCCCAGUCAGAUUACGAAUGGGUACAAGAAUCUGAUGCAGGAUCCGGAUCCGUUGGUGGAGAGGGUCAGUGUGUACAGAAAUGCAUCCCUCGCUAUUCCCGCCUUUGCCUACACCUUCUGCACUGGAGUGUCAAUCAAAACUCUCAAAGUGCUCCGUCCAAUCAGACCCCAGCAGCCGGUGGUGUUCUUCAGCCCUGUUUACCUACGAACACUGGACCGUUUCUGGAAGGGGCGUGGCCUGAAGGAGACCCGCCUCUCAUCUGGGUUUAUGUUAAUUAGCACGGCUCUGGAACUGUGUGAGCAUGUGCAUGUUUACGGAUUCUGGCCAUUUGGAAUGGACCUGCAGGACAAUGCGGUUCCGUAUCAUUACUACGACGAGUUGAGUCCGCACCGAUCCAUGCACAAGAUGCCGGAGGAGUUUGUGCGGCUUCUGCAGCUCCACAGCCAGGGGGCGCUAACACUGCACCUGGGGCCCUGUGUGCACCCCUGACCGCAUCUGUCUGGGACCAUCAAUUAUUUAAAGGAGAGGACACAUUAAAUCAUUUAAACUGUUUUGAAUUAAAAGGCUAGCACAAAAUCAUCUUUAUCAUUUCAGGAUGUCUGAAGAAUAAUGUUUUGCCAGAGUUUGUUCUCUGGAGAUUGUUUUGUCAUGGGAGAUCUUAAGCAUGGAUAUUUAUUUCCUCAAGUGAUUGUCCUCAGUUUUGGAAUACAAUAUGUGUUUGAUAUUGAUUGUGUUAUUUGUUCUUAGUGUUUUUAGGAGUGAGACAAAACAAGUGUUUCAUAUUUCUCUGAACUGUGUAAUACGCAGUGCUUUUCUGGGUGUUUUCGAUGGACUUUAGAGUCAUAAAGUGAGUGAAUGAUUAAUUUAGCUGCAGAAAAGAGACUUUAGGUUGACUACGGUGAACAACGAAGCAGUUCCUCAGCGAGCGGAUCAAAUAUAGAUAAAAAUAUUCAGUAGAUAAUAACUUUUAAGUACCUUUUAGUUGAGUGUUGUAGUAGCUGAUGCUGAGAGUAAACGCAUCAUCUGUCCAUCUUUUCGGUCUAAUGCUUCAUUUAUAAACUGAAUUCAUCAGAACAGUGCAUGGUUGGCCAGCGAUGGAGGAAAGUAAGACUGAUCAUGUAACUCCACCCACAACUCCAAACAAAGCCACGCCCUCUCUGCCAAAGUCCGCUGAACGGCCGAUAGGUUUGAGCAGCCCAGAGUUACUAAAAGAACUGCAAGAACCGCAUGCGCUCAAACACGUCCCUGCUCACACGGGACUGACCACUGUGUUCUGUGGACGAGGACGACAGAAACAGGAGACAGAGAGUGGGUCAAAAAACCCUGCACUGAAACGCCAAGAAUCACAGUGACUGUCCGGCGGUGAUUACAGCUGCUCUGUCAUUGGCUGCUUGUGCUGUCUGUCAGAGAUUAGCCCCACCCCCUUGGUGAUGUCACGUCUCUGUGAGCUGCUCUGGUUCUGAGGAUCUUCAGUGAACACGUCUGUCAUGUUUGUGUGCGAGUAUAAAGCAGUCUGUCAAUCUGUACCGCAUCUCAUGUUAAAACAGUGUGUGACUGUCUUUGAUAUCAAAUAUGAAAUAGAAAUCAAAGCUGAGAAUUUGUGUGUUAAAAUAGUGAAUACCUGACUUCUUUCAGUUUAUUAAGUGGCCAGUUGGAAUGUGUAUUGGAAUGAAUGGAAGAGUAUGUGAAAAACAAUAAAUAACAUUACAUAUCUGGA